UCGGGUUAUAUACAUACAAAAACGAUGCAUGUGAUACUAAAUAAUGGGUACAUGUGAUUUCGUGGGGACCAUACACAAGAGGUUGAAGAAAAACACAAAAUCGGACAAAGAGGAGCAAGACAUAACAAGCCUUACUAAAGAAAUUGCAGCUUGCACUGAGGAAAUAGAGUGUCACAAAGAAAACUUACUGUUAAGGAGGCCCCAAGAGCAGCGCUGCUAGACGCUAGUAUCUGGAGUCUUGAUGCUUGCUAGUUGAGACCAUUGUCAUAUGAGUGAUCAGGAAGACAAAUUGAUUGACGAAAAGAUGGCUAAGCUCAGCCGUGGAAAUGAGGACAUCAGUGGUGAUAAAGAUAGUGAAGAGGAGGAAGAUACAGGGAUGGGAGAGAUAGACGUGGAGAGCUCAGGAACUUGAAUUAGAGAGAAGCUAUGCGUAAAGCUGAAGCCGCUGGUAAUGGUGAUUGCCCAGUUAAAAGUAAACUUGUUGCUCAUCCUGCAUAUGUUCUCAAUACUCGAGACUCUUGACAUGGUGACUGACGUGUUAAAAGAAUGAGUGUGGGGUGGUUUCUUGAUCACCUACGACUCUUGAGUGUCACGAGAUUUAUCUUGGGCUGAUUAAGUGUGUUACUGUUGGUAAGAAACCAUGUCUAGAAGUCAGUGACCGGGCAAGGAGGUGGCAUCCUCACGCCACCGGAAAAGGGUCCGAGUCGGAGGCAAUGUUCCUCCUGCACUCAACAGGUCCCUGUGGACAAACUCACCGUUUCGACCUAAAAGCAGUGACCAAAAAAGGGAAGAGCUUGAG